CUAAGCUUGGCUUUUACUAUUUCCAGAACAUGUGUUCACUAUCUUUUACUAAAUAAAGCAUACUUUAGGAGUGAUAAGAAAAAAAGAAAACUUUAAAAAUUGUUAAUGAACAUGGUUAACAUUUGUACUGAAGCAAAAGCAUAGUUUAAGAUAAAACGCAGUUACCCCAGGAAGAAAAUGCAGUCUGUGGUCAAGGAACCUGCGUCUGUGGUUGUUUUAAAUGUUGCUGAGUAUGACCUGCUCUGUAGAUGUGGCUGGAAGGAGACAGAGGAUGGGGACAUGGGUCAUCCUUCGUUUCUCUUUAUGCUCCAGGCUUAGGAGGUUGAUAUUUGCCUUCAACAUAUUGAACUAGUGGUUCUUGAUUCAUCCUAAUGAU
rnacentral:lncRNA from 1 species